GGGGAUUUGGCUCAGUGGUAGAGUGCUUGCCUAGGAAGCGCAAGGUCCUGGGUUCAAUCCCCA
rfam:Rattus norvegicus chromosome 1, whole genome shotgun sequence.